AUUGAACGCUGGCGGCAUGCCUUACACAUGCAAGUCGAACGGCAGCACGGGAGCAAUCCUGGUGGCGAGUGGCGAACGGGUGAGUAAUGUAUCGGAACGUGCCCAGUCGUGGGGGAUAACGUAGCGAAAGCUACGCUAAUACCGCAUACGAUCUAUGGAUGAAAGCGGGGGAUCGCAAGACCUCGCGCGAUUGGAGCGGCCGAUAUCAGAUUAGGUAGUUGGUGGGGUAAAGGCCCACCAAGCCUGCGAUCUGUAGCUGGUCUGAGAGGACGACCAGCCACACUGGAACUGAGACACGGUCCAGACUCCUACGGGAGGCAGCAGUGGGGAAUUUUGGACAAUGGGCGCAAGCCUGAUCCAGCAAUGCCGCGUGCAGGAUGGAGGCCUUCGGGUUGUAAACUGCUUUUGUACGGAACGAAACGGCUUUUUCUAAUACAGAGAGCUAAUGACGGUACCGUAAGAAUAAGCACCGGCUAACUACGUGCCAGCCGCCGCCGUAAUAC
rnacentral:rRNA from 1 species